UACAGAGGUCCCAAGCGUUGUUCGGAUUCAUUGGGCGUAAAGGGUGCGUAGGCGGCGCGGUAAGUCGGGUGUGAAAUCUCGGGGCUUAACUCCGAAACUGCAUUCGAUACUGCCGUGCUUGAGGACUGGAGAGGAGACUGGAAUUUACGGUGUAGCGGUGAAAUGCGCAGAUAUCGGGAAGAACACCCGUGGCGAAGGCGGUUCUCUGGGACGGUACUGACGCUGAGGUGCGAAAGCGUGGGGAGCAAACAGG
rnacentral:rRNA from 1 species